CUUUUCACCUCCUCCUCCUCCUCCUCCUCCUCUUCCUCCUCUCUGGGGAGGAGGAGGAGGAGGAGGAGGAGGAGGAGGAGUGU
rnacentral:miRNA from 1 species